rnacentral:lncRNA from 1 species
CAAUGCUACUUGGUUAGUUGUUCAAUUCCUGAAAUAUCUGCAAUGAAAUCACAUUUGAUAAAUUUUGUGAAAAGAAUAUUUUCACAAAGUUCUCUAACUGAUAUUUCAGAAAAAAUUGAAAAUGAUUCAUGUUUGUCAAUAUCUGUAGCAUAUCAAAAUAAAAAAAAAGCAGACUCAUCAAUUUCUGCAGUCAAUAUAACAUUAUCACCACCACCAUUUUGUUUUCUUAUGUUCUGUUAAAUUUCAAACAAACCAAAUUCUAUCAUUUCAAUUUAAGUAAAACCAACUAAAAUUUUAACUUUUGUUAGAAUAUAAUUUUAAUGAUUUUUUUUAUUGUUGGCCAGAUUGGCUCAUAAAAACUCUUCAGCUUUCUACCUAGAGAAUCUAGGAUUGACUUCAGGUUUUAUACUUUGGAAAAUUUUCAUAAGGGAUCUGAGCCUAGCCUGUUGAUCCCUAUCAUUUACAAUCCUACUGACUGUAUUGUGGAUAAGGCAGGAAUGUCUGAUUCAUCAGCCAAUAUUUGGGAAGUGGCAUUAAAAAGUUUUUCAUUUUUUACUUUGCCACAAUGUUUUGCAUACAAAUAUAAUAAUUUAUAUAUUUCAUUUUUGUUUUUACUUAGCAUUCUUUAUUUUUGCAAGUAUAAAAUAUUAGCAAAGGCAAGAUCUAUAUUUCAUUGUUGUAAAGAAAAGACAAUUUUUAUUAAAUGUUGCUAUAUUAUUUCUUUUAAAAAAUUUAUUCAAUAAUCUGAAUUUUGAUAGUUGGGGAAUCUAAGCUCCAUUUAUAGUAUUUUUCUAUGGGAAAUUAUCUUCUAAGUUAUGAUGAAUUCAAAUUGAUCAAAAUUUGAAUGCAUCCUCAUCAUAAGUUUGGGACCCCUUAAUAAAUGUGACAUAAAUAAAAAAUUUAAUAGAAUUAAUAAUUUAUUAACCAUAUAUUUUAAUUAAUCCUCAACUUAUGAUGGAAUUCGAUUUUGAACCUCAUUGUCAUAAGUUAGAAUGGCU